UGGGGAAUAUUGGACAAUGGGCGAAAGCCUGAUCCAGCCAUGCCGCGUGAGUGACGAAGGCCUUAGGGUUGUAAAACUCUUUCGUCGGGGACGAUAAUGACGGUACCCGAAGAAGAAGCUCCGGCUAACUUCGUGCCAGCAGCCGCGGUAAUACGAAGGGAGCUAGCGUUGUUCGGAAUCACUGGGUGUAAAGCGCACGUAGGCGGAUAGUUAAGUCAGGGGUGAAAUCCUGGGGCUCAACCCCAGAACUGCCUUUGAUACUGCAAGUCUUGAGUGUGGUAGAGGCUAUUAGAAUUCUUGGUGUAGUGGUGAAAUACGUAGAUAUCAAGAGGAAUACCGGAGGCGAAGGCGGAUAGCUGGGCCAACACUGACGCUGAGACCCGAAAGCGUGGGGAUCAAACAGGAUUAGAUACCCCAGUAGUCCCUGAGCGGGCUGGCAAGGCGCAU
rnacentral:rRNA from 1 species